UACUAUUUUUCUUUUUGAGUGGUUUGUUGUUCAUGAAGUUGUGAUAUGUUGUGAGUCAUUGGUGAUGCAUGAUAGAAGGCACUAGGGUAGCCAUUUGGCCUGCUUUUGAAUUCCUACCUGAACAUUAACCCCUAGUGAGCCAUGUUUGAAGCCUUGACCAUUUUUGUUCUUUUAGUCACUAAAUAAUUAAGCCAAUGCCUGUUUUGGACUUUCUUUUGGCCCAGUGAUGCAUGUCUAAUUUUGAACUUCAUUCCAUUAAUUACUAGAGAAAGUUAAGCUGUGUUCUUAUGUGCCGUUUGCCCAAACUGCUGUCUUGUGUAAAAUGAUAAGGAUCUGUGAUCCGUUUGGCCAAACAGUGGCAUUGAUCAGUUAAGUUUUUGGGAUGGGAGCAGUUUUGGGAGACGAUUUGUGGGGAUCUUUUGUAGAUGAUGAUUGCAUGUUGAUUGAGGAUAUAAAAAAGGAAAGGUGCUGACAAGAAAAAAAAAGAAAAAAAAAGAAAAAGAAAAGAAAAAAAAGAAAAAAAAAAAAGAGAAAAAAAAAGAUGUUGCACCAGUUUGAGUUGAGCAUGUAGUAUCAGUGUUAUUAUUGGAGUUUUUCCCCCAAGUUUAGUUGCUUUCUUUCUUUCUCUAUGAACUUGAAAUUGUGGAUGAUGGUUUGGAUUAGAUGUGCACACUUUGAGUUUCACUGCUUGAGCUUAGGACCCCUAGGAUCUUGCCAACAUCAUGAAUGGUCCUUAGCCCCAUUACAAC
rnacentral:lncRNA from 1 species